UACGGGGGGGCAAGCGUUGUUCGGAAUUACUGGGCGUAAAGGGCUCGUAGGUGGCCAACUAAGUCAGACGUGAAAUCCCUCAGCUUAACUGGGGAACUGCGUCUGAUACUGGAUGGCUUGAGUUUGGGAGAGGGAUGCGGAAUUCCAGGUGUAGCGGUGAAAUGCGUAGAUAUCUGGAGGAACACCGGUGGCGAAGGCGGCAUCCUGGACCAACACUGACACUGAGGCGCGAAAGCGUGGGGAGCAAACAGG
rnacentral:rRNA from 1 species